rnacentral:rRNA from 1 species
GACGAACGCUGGCGGCGUGCUUAACACAUGCAAGUCGAACGGAAAGGCCCUGCUUUUGUGGGGUGCUCGAGUGGCGAACGGGUGAGUAACACGUGAGUAACCUGCCCUUGACUUUGGGAUAACUUCAGGAAACUGGGGCUAAUACCGGAUAGGAGCUCCUGCUGCAUGGGGGGGGUUGGAAAGUUUCGGCGGUUGGGGAUGGACUCGCGGCUUAUCAGCUUGUUGGUGGGGUAGUGGCUUACCAAGGCUUUGACGGGUAGCCGGCCUGGGAGGGUGACCGGCCACAUUGGGACUGCGAUACGGCCCAGACUCCUACGGGAGGCAGCAGUGGGGAAUAUUGCACAAUGGGCGGAAGCCUGAUGCAGCAACGCCGCGUGCGGGAUGACGGCCUUCGGGUUGUAAACCGCUUUCGCCUGUGACGAAGCGUGAGUGACGGUAAUGGGUAAAGAAGCACCGGCUAACUACGUG